ACUUUUUAUGUAAUAUGUAUGUUAAAUUUUAGAUUUGGGUAAAAUAUCAAGUCUUUUCAAUUAAACAGGUUCAAGUCCAAUUCAAGUCCCAAGUCACUGGUGUAAAAGUCCAAGUCAAGUCACAAGUCUUACAACCUUUUUUCAAGUCAAGUCUAAAGUCAUAAAAUUAACUAGAAAGCGAAAAUUUCAGAAGAAAUUUUAAGUGUGCCUAUGCCGCUGCUAAUCUGUGUAGUUUGCCAUUCUUACGGCUGCUUAGGGCAAAACUCAGAAGAGGAGCCAUUCUCCACCAUGAACUAUGGUAAAAACAAACACCGCUCACACUUCACAGAUGACAGCUUACAGUUUUGUGUAAAGAUGAAGUUGCUUUGUACAGCCCCGAUUUGCAGACGCUGUGCACAGAGGUUCAUGAGCAGAAGUCCCCAUUGUACCACGGCAGACCCGACAAUGUUUGCAUGAACACCCUUUGAAGCAUUAUGUAAUGGACCACUUUUCACACAUGGUUGGUGUACCCACACAACCGGCUGUAGCUUUUCAACUUACAGCCCGACACACACCCAAAAAACAGCCGAGAGAGCACAGACAACGCCCGAGAGGCGUGAUUGCAGAUGCCGCUCAGGUGGACCCACCUGAGCGGCACCUGCAAUCACGCCUCUCGGGCGUAGUCUGUGCUCUCUCGGCUGUUUUUGGGUGUGUGUCGGGCUGUGAGUUGAAAAGCUACAGCCGGCUGUUUGGGUACACCAACCAUGUGUGAAAAGUGGUCCAUAACGUAAUGCUUCAAAGCGUGUUCAUGCAAACAUUGUCGGAUCUGCCGUGGUACAAUGGGACUUCUGCUCAUGAACCUGUGUGCACAGCGUCUGCAAAUCGGCGCUGUACGAAGUAACUUCAUCUUUACACAAAACUGUAAGCUGUUAUCUGUGAAGCGUGAGCGGUGUUUGUUUUUACCAUAGUUCAUGGUGGAGAAUGGGUGCUCUUCUGAGUUUUGCUCUCUGUAGCUGUAUGAAUGGCAAACUACACUGAAUAGCAGCGGCAUAGGCACACAUAAAAUUUCUUCUGAAAUUUUCGCUUUCUAGUUGAGUCUUACUGUUGCAGAAUGUGACUAGUAUAUAAUUAUAGGGCUGGUUGCAUUAAAGGAACAUUGGGGGUUGAUACAGUGCAGGGGCGGAUCUAGAAGGGUGGCAUGGGGUGGCAAGUGCCACCCUAAAAUGAUCCCUUGCCACCCCAGUUUUGCAUAUGACAGUGUUGUUUAUUAAAAUAAGAUAGCAUUAACAGUUUGAGUGUAGUUACAGUCAACAGUGAAUAUAAAUGCUAAAACUGAAUAUAUUGCAUAGUGUUCCCCCCCUCCACCAUUAACAAAUGGUUCAGCCCAUAGCAGGACCGGUGUUCUGGGAAUCCAUCCUACCUGAAAAAACAUCCUACCUAAUGUUUCUGCGCAGAUGCGCCGCAUGUGCACAACACUAACGCCGCAUUAACUUCUUUUUCUCUCACCCAUCCAGAAUACUUCUUAAGGUUAUGGUUAUGGUUAGGGGUAGGGUUAGGUUUAGUCGCAAGUCACCGUGAAAUUAUAAUACGGGUAGGACGUUUUGUCAGAGUAGGAUGGUUUCGCAGAACACCGGCUUUUUUCUUGUUUUCAGUAGCAAGCAAUGUUUAUGAUUGUGCCAGAGCACAUUUUGAACAACACCAUGGGAAUUUUGGAUUUUACACAGGUGUUUGGAUGUUACACUCUGGAAAUGGAAGGAAGGUGAGUGUUAUUAACCCUCUGUGGUCCACGGACACGCUGCACCUCCAAAUCACAUGACUAUGUUAAGCUGACAUAGCAACAAGCUGCAGCCACACCGAGUCUCUGUUUCAGCCCACAUUGAAAGUUCGGACUUCAAAGUUUUUUAAUUUUAAUUACAGGCCAGUAAAUCCAGAGUUAUGAUGAUAUAUAUAAGCCAUGCUUUUUUCUAAAUACUGUCGUCACGUUUUUGUGUGUGUGUGUUUUAAGCGUUUUCUAAGGACAGCGCGAAAACAGUAAAGAAAGGGAAAAAUGCCACCUCUUUCCUAUCGGUGGAAAAUGCACCAUGUCGACCAAUUUAAAAAAAAAGUCAACAUGUGGGAUUUGGUUGUUUAGGAAGAGAGAAAAGUUUUGGGAGUGACGGUAACGGCAGCGAGACAGAGCGAGCGAGAGAGAGAGUUUAGAUGUGGGAGAUUUGUGACGUUUAGUGUGGAGUGUAUACUUAGUGUGUUGUGUUGUCUUGUGUAGUUGUUCUGUUGUGUAGUCGUUGUUUUGUCUUGUGUGUCAGUGAGGGCACUAAUGAAUGUCACUAAGGCACAUUUGUAAACACUGUCACUAAGUAGAAAACCAGCGGAGUGAUACACCUCCUGUUGUCAGGCCUGCAGGUUUAUCCCUGUGCUGUUCUGUCUUUUGGUGGACAAACUUUUUUUUUUUUUACUGGCACACAUCAUUUGUGGGGCAUCUUAUUGCGAAACCUGAUUGUUCUCUCAUUUUAGUUUUAGUAAUAUUUUUAAAUGGUUGUAGAAAAUGAAAAAAAAAAAACCGGCAGGUGUAUUGGCUGCAUUUUUAGAUAAAUAGUUGUAUAUGUUUACAAAAUGUACAUUUUAUAUUUGCAUUUCAAGUUAUAAAAAUUUACUCAACAUGUCUGUGGGUUUUUUUUACAGUAAAAAGAUACUACUAGGAUUUUAAGUUCUUUGUGUGAUUUCAGAUCAGUAAUAGUACUAUUAAUAGUAAUAGUAGUACUAAUGCAGUAUGUCAGUGAAAAAAACAACUAAAUUCAGUUGAGCUGAAAAGAAUGAUACCAAACAAGGCAAGGGGAAAAAAAUAAAAUGAAACAAUCUGAGGGUGAAAUACAAAUGUAAACUCAAAAGGAGUCAAAAAUGGCCGGUUGUAUUUCAGACCUCAGUGGGUUAAUCCAACAAAUCAUGAAAAAUUAGGUUUAAAUUUUUGUUCAUGACAGUGCAGAUUUCUGACAUUUUGUGUAAUUUAAGCUGUAACAAUGUGAUUGUUUUCCAACAAAAAACAGUGAAACUUAAGUUAGACUUGUGUUUGUAAAUGAACCGCCCCAUGUUGUGUAGCUUUCUGGAUUUUAUACUUAUUGGGCUACAUAUUUAUUUAUUAUACAGGCUAUACCGUACAUAAUAUCAAAACUCACAUGUUUUAUGUAACUAAAGUGUGUAAUUAUGUGGGCUACAGACAAUAACUAAGUUAUAGACUAUAUUUAUAUGAAAAACGUGUAUACUUAAUGCAUUUGAAUCAUUUUAACCAUAUGUAACCACCUGCAUGUGUGUUUGGGGGGAAAAAAUGACUUUGAUUUUGCCACCCUAUUUGAUUUCUUU
rnacentral:lncRNA from 1 species